rnacentral:lncRNA from 1 species
CACCCCCCUGGUUUAGAUUCCUAUUUGCCCAUAUUUGGUUCUGUUCCUGUUGUCAUUAGUGCAUUAGUUCAUUAGUCAAUUAUCAGUUAAUCCUCAGCACCUGUAUGUCCCUCAUUUACUGCCUUAUUUAAGAUCUCUCCGGUUGUUUGCCAGUUAUUAUUGUUGUGAAUGCUUAUGUGCCCUUUUGUCUUGUAUUAACCUUCAUUGUCUGGAGAUCCUUUUAAAAGUCUAUAUUGUAUUAUUUUCGUGUCCGUGCUCUCGACAUGAACAAAAGACUUAUGAGUUUAGAAAAACAAGAGGACUAGCAGGUUUUAGAAUUUGGUGUGGUGUUCUUCCACACCAUUACUGCCAUUUACUGUGGUGGAACAGGAAAAGAUUCCAGAUCAGGCACUGGCUCUGCCACCAACAAAGACACUGCUGGUGGAAAAUGGGUUCGGUGAUGGUCCAGAUGAUUAACCGCUGAGCAGCUUUUUCUCUUCAUACUCCUGAAUAUAUGAAUCCAUCAGAUCCAGGCACCAUGUGGUCUCUGAGAUCUCGGAUUGGCUACAAAGUCCUACACUGGACCCACUAGACCUGCUCUCUGAUGUUUCACUAUCUUGGCCCAGCCUUUGAUUACCCAGUAGGCACUCCCGACUGGUGUGCUCUACUUCAGGUGACUCCUCAAGAGAAGAGAGAACUAUGCCUGAUUCGUGUGGAGAAUUCUCUUGUACGAAAGUGGAAGGUACCACAUUCUGAGUGAGGGCCACCUCUGGAGUCCUGUGCUCUUCAUCCACAGUUGGAGUGGAGUAGGGAAACACUGGUUCUGUGGAAAGGUGUAGGUGUGAAUAAGAGCUUGGCGUGACCUUGCAAGAAAAAGACGAACUGUCCAAAUUUUGAGGAAACAAUGUAUGCAAAACAGGGUGUGACUGGCUGAUACUGGCAUGGGCUCCAUCUCCAGCACAAAUGCCCAGUGAUGAGCCCUCUGCUCGGGGGCUCUCUCCAGGUGUUGGCCCCAGGCUUCCUGGGCUGAUACUAAGGAGAGAGGAGCCAGUAGAGAAGUGAUGGUGGCUGAUAUUGGAGGGAACUGAGGUGUAGAUGGAACUCCAAUCAUGGGAACAGGGCUCAUUUGCUGUGACAGGAGAGUGUUGAUUGGGCUCAUGCUGGCGAAAGUGUCCCUGUUUCUCAGUGUGCUGAGCGAAACCAGAUCCACCUGUACAUAC